GACGUAGGGCGCGAGCGUUGUCCGGAUUUACUGGGCGUAAAGCGUGCGCAGGCGGUUCGCUGUGUCCUGUGUGAAAGCCCCGGGCUUAACCUGGGAAUGGCAUGGGAAACUGGCGAGCUUGAGUGCGGCAGAGGGGGGUGGAAUUCCGCGUGUAGCAGUGAAAUGCGUAGAGAUGCGGAGGAACACCGAUGGCGAAGGCAGCCCCCUGGGUCGACACUGACGCUCAGGCACGAAAGCGUGGGGAGCAAACAGG
rnacentral:rRNA from 1 species